UCCUCAUUAAAAAUGUAGCUUCAGAGUCUUCAUUCAGCAUAGGAAGUCGGGUUUUAAACAAGUAUCGGAGUUGUCUCCUUCCUUCUACAGUUCAAGCUUUGAUAUGCGCGAGGAAUUGGCUACGCAACUUUGAAGAGAUUGGUAUGCUUCUGACUUCUUUUCUUUUGUCAUAUUUCAAUCAAUUUGAAUCUUAAUGCAUAUUGAGUUCUUCUUUUCUGUUGUACUUAGAUGAUAAUAUUGAGUUCCUUAAUGAAGACAAAGAUAGCGAGGGAGAACAAGAAGAAGUUUAAUUUUGCUUUUAAUUUGUUUUUGGAUUUGAUACUUUGUUGAAUACUUGAAUUGUGUUUAAAUUUGCUUUUGGAUUUGAUACUUAAAUCAUUUAAUACUUUGUUGUUUAAAUUUGCUUUUGGAUUUGAUAAUUGGAUUGAUUAUGAAGCAAAUACUAUUGGGUUAAAAUUUGGUUUUGUUAUGCCCAUUGGACAACUCAUUUGGGCAUGGUCUUUAAUGGGCAUGGGCUUCAGUGGACAUGGACACUAUUUGUCCAAUAUCGAAAUGGACAUUAUUGGACUGGGCUAAUGGACAUGGACAGCCCGUUUUGACAGCUCUAGAAAAAGCCAACAGAAGGAAAAGUACGGAGGAGGAAUCCCUGGCAUGAAUUCCAGAGAUUAGAAUAGAAUGUUGACUUCUAGAUUUUUCAUACAAAGCAAAUAGCAUUUCCUAUUGAUUUGUCUCCUGGACUGGUGGAACUAUUCUAAUUCUGAAUUAUUCGUCGCUAUGCUAUUCCCAAGGACUAGCAAAAUCGAAAUGGUGAAAUUUUUGGAUCAUCUCAAUGGGUUCAGAAACCACACGUUUCUCUGUAUCAUCAUAGCGUACUAUCAAAAAAGAAGUUGUUGGAUAAAGUAAACUUCCGCCUUGGACGAGCACGAGGCUUAGUCAAGUAGAAUCGGAUUACGCUGCUGGAUGCUCUGAUCGAAAACAAAUCAUGUGGUUCGUGGGGCACUUGAGUAAGCCGCCGACGCUCGAUUGUGUCUUGACCCCUAUCCAAUUUUUGGGCCAAUUCCCCCCUCGUGCUACCAAAAAAUGAGAUGGUGUUCAGGUUGCGAGUUGGAUCCAUCUUUUUAGAACUAGCCCAAAUUUUUUACUGACCUUAUGGAUUAAUCAGAUUUUUUUUUUUUUACGUGUAUUUGUGACAGGCUAUUGGUAUAUAUUGAAAACAUUAUUCCAAAAUGUAAAAAUGUUAAUAUUUGAUGAACAUUUGAAUAGUAAGAAAAUGAAAGAAUCUUAUAUUUAAAACAUCCAUACUGAACAAGUGGUAUACAAUUCUUUCCUAAGUAACUUAUGGU
rnacentral:sRNA from 1 species